UCAGUCGACUCCUACGGGGAGGCAGCAGUGGGGGAAUAUUGCACAAUGGGCGCAAGCCUGAUGCAGCCAUGCCGCGUGUAUGAAGAAGGCCUUCGGGUUGUAAAGUACUUUCAGCAGUGAGGAAGGUGGGUAUGGUUAAUAGCAUACUCAUUUGACGUUAGCUGCAGAAGAAGCACCGGCUAACUCCGUGCCAGCAGCCGCGGUAAUACGGAGGGUGCGAGCGUUAAUCGGAAUUACUGGGCGUAAAGCGCAUGCAGGUGGUUUGUUAAGUCAGAUGUGAAAGCCCGGGGCUCAACCUCGGAAUUGCAUUUGAAACUGGCAAACUAGAGUACUGUAGAGGGGGGUAGGAAUUUCAGGUGUAGCGGUGAAAUGCGUAGAGAUCUGAAGGAAUACCGGUGGCGAAGGCGGCCCCCUGGACAGAUACUGACACUCAGAUGCGAAAGCGUGGGGAGCAAACAGGAUUAGAUACCCUGGUAG
rnacentral:rRNA from 1 species